rnacentral:rRNA from 1 species
UACAUGGGGUGCAAACGUUGCUCGGAAUUAUUGGGCGUAAAGCGCGCGUAGGCGGUUACUCAAGUCGGAUGUGAAAGCCCUCGGCUUAACUGAGGAAGUGCACCCGAAACUGAGUAGCUAGAGUACUAAAGAGGGUCGCGGAAUUCCCGGUGUAGAGGUGAAAUUCGUAGAUAUCGGGAGGAACACCGGUGGCGAAGGCGGCGACCUGGGUAGAUACUGACGCUCAUGUGCGAAAGCGUGGGGAGCAGACAGG